rnacentral:misc_RNA from 1 species
CCGAGUUUACAACUCCCAAACCCAAUGUGAACGUUACCAAACUGUUGCCUCGGCGGGGUCACGCCCCGGGUGCGUAAAAGCCCCGGAACCAGGCGCCCGCCGGAGGAACCAACCAAACUCUUUCUGUAGUCCCCUCGCGGACGUAUUUCUUACAGCUCUGAGCAAAAAUUCAAAAUGAGUCA